rnacentral:rRNA from 1 species
GGGGGGGGGGGGGGGGGGGGGUGGGGGGUGGCGGUCGGACGGGAGGGGCGGGCGUUGGUGGGGGGCGCGAGUGGCGGACGGUUGGGUAACACGUGCGUGACCUGCCCUUGCCUUUGUGUUCGCUUCGGUCGACUGGGGCUCAUGCCGGAUCGGAGACCCUCCAUCAUGUUUGUCGUUGGAACAUUUCGUCGGUUGGGGAUGGAAUUGGGGCGUAGCCGUUUGUUGGUUGGGUUGUGGCUGACCAAGGCUUUGACGGUCUGCCGGCCUGAGAGGGUGACCGGCCACAUUGGGACUGAGAUACGGGCCAGACUCCUACGGGAGGCAGCAGUGGGGAAUAUUGCACAAUGGGCGGAAGCCUGAUGCAGCAACGCCGCGUGCGGGAUGACGGCCUUCGGGUUGUAAACCGCUUUCGCCUGUGACGAAGCGUGAGUGACGGUAAUGGGUAAAGAAGCACCGGCUAACUACGUG